CCAACGUGGACAUCCUGUGAGUUGUCUCACAUGGCUCUGUCCUUGUGGCGUAUGGAGCGUAGCGUUUCACAGUGCUGUGACGUACAGUCCCGUUCACGACGUUGGAGAGCAAGCUUUGUCCGGCCCUUGGGCUGGUGAGGACGGCAUUCUGUAUAUUCCUACAUCUUCCCAGAGCCCUUUGGCAUGAUGGGGGGCUAAACCAUGCAGUGUACAACU